rnacentral:rRNA from 1 species
AGGUUAAGUUAAUAAGGGCGCAUGGUGGAUGCCUUGGCACUAGAAGGCGAUGAAGGACGUGACUAACUACGAUAUGCCUCGGUUAGCUGUAAGUAAGCUUACCCGGGGGUUUCCGAAUGGGGCAACCCGAUCUUAAUGAUCAUCAUCUUUUUGAAUUCAUAGAUUAGAUGAAGCAAACGCUGUGAACUGAAACAUCUAAGUAGCAGUAGGAAAGUAAAGAAAUUUCGAUUCCGUCAGUAGCGGCGAGCGAACGCGGAAGAGCCCAAACCUGGAUGCUUGCAUCCAGGGGUUGUAGGACUGAUGUUGAGUUACAAAGGUAUAAGAUAGCAGAAACAGUUGGGAAGCUGUUCCAAAGAGGGUGACAGGCCCGUAUGCGAAAUCUUGUACUCUCUAAUCAGGAUCCUGAGUACGGCCCAGCACGUGAAAUUGGGUCGGAAUCUGGGAGGACCAUCUCCCAAGGCUAAAUACUAACUAGGGACCGAUAGCGAACAAGUACCGUGAGGGAAAGGUGAAAAGAUCCCCGGAAGGGGAGUGAAAUAGUUCUUGAAACCGUGUGCUUACAAGA